rnacentral:rRNA from 1 species
CCUACGGGAGGCAGCAGUAAGGAAUCUUCCACAAUGGACGAAAGUCUGAUGGAGCAACGCCGCGUGCAGGAUGAAGGCUUUCGGGUCGUAAACUGCUUUUAUAUGGGAAGAUUAUGACGGUACCAUAUGAAUAAGGACCGGCUAACUACGUGCCAGCAGCCGCGGUAAUACGUAGGGUCCAAGCGAUAUCCGGAAUUACUGGGCGUAAAGCGUGUGUAGGUGGAUUAAUAAGUGUGAUGCGAAAUCCGGCGGCUCAACCGUUUGGACUGUGUCGCAUACUGUUAGUCUAGAGGACGGCAGAGGUAAGUGGAAUUACGGGUGUAGCAGUGAAAUGCGUAGAUAUCCGUAGGAACACCAAUGGCGAAGGCAGCUUACUGGGCCACACCUGACACUGAGACACGAAAGCGUGGGGAGCGAACAGGAUUAGAUACCCUGGUAGUCACGCCGUAAACGAUGCAUACUAUUAGUAUGGGGUAUCGACCCCCUGUGCUGAGAAGCUAACGCGAUAAGUAUGCCGCCGNGGAGAGAGNGCAGACUAACUACGAAGAAGUAGACGCGNGAGACGUGCCGACGACGACGACGAGGGAGGAGG